UACGUAGGGGGCCAGCGUUGUUCGGAAUUACUGGGUGUAAAGGGUUCGUAGGCGGUGCGGCAAGUUGGGAGUGAAAUCUCUGGGCUCAACCCAGAGACGGCUUCCAAAACUGCUGUGCUUGAGUGUGGGAGAGGCUCGUGGAAUUGCAGGUGUAGCGGUGAAAUGCGUAGAUAUCUGCAGGAACACCCGUGGCGAAAGCGGCGAGCUGGACCACUACUGACGCUGAAGAACAAAAGCUAGGGGAGCGAACGGG
rnacentral:rRNA from 1 species